CACGUAGGGUGCGAGCGUUGUCCGGAAUUAUUGGGCGUAAAGAGCUCGUAGGCGGUGUGUCGCGUCGGCCGUGAAAACCUGCAGCUUAACUGUGGGCUUGCGGUCGAUACGGGCAUCACUGGAGUUCGGCAGGGGAGACUGGAAUUCCUGGUGUAGCGGUGAAAUGCGCAGAUAUCAGGAGGAACACCGGUGGCGAAGGCGGUUCUCUGGGCAUGUCCUGACGCUGAGGAGCGAAAGUGUGGGGAGCGAACAGG
rnacentral:rRNA from 1 species